CUUUCUUUGCUGGCGACCGGCGCACGGGUGAGUAACACGUAUCCAACCUGCCCUUUACUCGGGGAUAGCCUUUCGAAAGAAAGAUUAAUACCCGAUAGCAUAAUGAUUCCGCAUGGUUUCAUUAUUAAAGGAUUCCGGUAAAGGAUGGGGAUGCGUUCCAUUAGGUUGUUGGUGAGGUAACGGCUCACCAAGCCUUCGAUGGAUAGGGGUUCUGGGAGGAAGGUCCCCCACAUUGGAACUGAGACACGGUCCAA
rnacentral:rRNA from 1 species